AGGACGAACGCUGGCGGCGUGCUUAACACAUGCAAGUCGAGCGGUAAGGCCCUUUCGGGGGUACACGAGCGGCGAACGGGUGAGUAACACGUGGGUGACCUGCCCUUAGCUCUGGGAUAAGCCUGGGAAACUGGGUCUAAUACCGGAUAUGACCUCAUGACGCAUGUUGUGGGGUGGAAAGCCUUGUGCGGCUAGGGAUGGGCCCGCGGCCUAUCAGCUUGUUGGUGGGGUGAUGGCCUACCAAGGCGACGACGGGUAGCCGGCCUGAGAGGGCGACCGGCCACACUGGGACUGAGACACGGCCCAGACUCCUACGGGAGGCAGCAGUGGGGAAUCUUGCGCAAUGGGCGAAAGCCUGACGCAGCGACGCCGCGUGAGGGAUGACGGCCUUCGGGUUGUAAACCUCUUUCAGCCCUGACGAAGCGAAGUGACGGUAGGGCAGAAGAAGCACCGGCCAACUACGCGCCAGCAGCCGCGGUAA
rnacentral:rRNA from 1 species